UGCCAGCAGCCGCGGUAAAACCAGCACCUCAAGUGGUCAGGAUGAUUAUUGGGCCUAAAGCAUCCGUAGCCGGCUCUGUAAGUUUUCGGUUAAAUCUAUGCGCUCAACGUAUGGGCUGCCGAAAAUACUGUAGAGAUAGGGAGUGGGAGAGGUAGACGGUACUCGGUAGGAAGGGGUAAAAUCCUUUGAUCUAUCGAUGACCACCUGUGGCGAAGGCGGUCUACCAGAACACGUUCGACGGUGAGGGAUGAAAGCUGGGGGAGCAAACCGGAUUAGAUA
rnacentral:rRNA from 1 species